UACGGGGGGGGCAAGCGUUGUUCGGAAUUACUGGGCGUAAAGGGCUCGUAGGUGGCCAACUAAGUCAGACGUGAAAUCCCUCAGCUUAACUGGGGAACUGCGUCUGAUACUGGAUGGCUUGAGUUUGGGAGAGGGACGCGGAAUUCCAGGUGUAGCGGUGAAAUGCGUAGAUAUCGGGAGGAACAUCAGUGGCGAAGGCGGCUGUCUGGCCCAAUACUGACACUCAGGUGCGACGAGCGUGGGGAGCAAACAGGG
rnacentral:rRNA from 1 species